UCGAACGCGAAAGUCCCCUUCGGGGGACUAGUAGAGUGGCGUCCGGGUGAGUAACACGUAGGUAAUCUACCUUCGGGUGGGGAAUAACGCAGGGAAACUUGCGCUAAUACCGCAUAAUGCAGCGGCACCACAUGGUGACAGUUGUUAAAGCGGGGGAUUUUCGAACCUCGCGCCUGAAGAGGAGCCUGCGGCAGAUUAGCUAGUUGGUAAGGUAAUGGCUUACCAAGGCGACGAUCUGUAACCGGCCUGAGAGGGCGGUCGGUCACACUGACACUGACAUACGGGUCAGACUCCUACGGGAGGCAGCAGUCGGGAAUUUUGGGCAAUGGGCGAAAGCCUGACCCAGCAACGCCGCGUGAAGGAUGAAAUCCCUCGGGAUGUAAACUUCGCAAGAAUGGGAAGAAUGAGUAGGGGCUAAUACUCCCUAUGAUGACGGUACCAUUUGUAAGCUCCGGCUAACUCCGUGCCAGCAGCCGCGGUAAUACGGGGGGAGCAAGCGUUGUUCGGAUUUACUGGGCGUAAAGGGCGCGUAGGCGGCCAGCGCAAGUCAGUUGUGAAAUCUCCGGGCUUAACUCGGAACGGUCAACUGAUACUGCGCGGCUAGAGUGCGGAAGGGGCAACUGGAAUUCUCGGUGUAGCGGUGAAAUGCGUAGAUAUCGAGAGGAACACCUGCGGCGAAGGCGGGUUGCUGGGCCGACACUGACGCUGAUGCGCGAAAGCCAGGGGAGCGAACGGGAUUAGAUACCCCGGUAGUCCUGGCCUUAAACGAUGGAUGCUUGGUGUCU
rnacentral:rRNA from 1 species